rnacentral:rRNA from 1 species
GAUGAACGCUGGUGGCGUGCCUAAUACAUGCAAGUCGAACGCUUCACUUCGGUGAAGAGUGGCGAACGGGUGAGUAAUACAUAAGUAACCUGGCAUCUACAGGGGGAUAACUGAUGGAAACGUCAGCUAAGACCGCAUAGGUGUAGAGAUCGCAUGAACUCUAUAUGAAAAGUGCUACGGGACUGGUAGAUGAUGGACUUAUGGCGCAUUAGCUUGUUGGUAGGGUAACGGCCUACCAAGGCGACGAUGCGUAGCCGACCUGAGAGGGUGACCGGCCACACUGGGACUGAGACACGGCCCAGACUCCUACGGGAGGCAGCAGUAGGGAAUUUUCGGCAAUGGGGGAAACCCUGACCGAGCAACGCCGCGUGAAGGAAGAAGUAAUUCGUUAUGUAAACUUCUGUCAUAGAGGAAGAACGGUGGAUAUAGGGAAUGAUAUCCAAGUGACGGUACUCUAUAAGAAAGCCACGGCUAACUACGUG